rnacentral:rRNA from 1 species
GACGAACGCUGGCGGCGCGCCUAACACAUGCAAGUCGAACGAGCGAGAGAGAGCUUGCUUUCUCGAGCGAGUGGCGAACGGGUGAGUAACGCGUGAGGAACCUGCCUCAAAGAGGGGGACAACAGUUGGAAACGACUGCUAAUACCGCAUAAGCCCACGACCCGGCAUCGGGUAGAGGGAAAAGGAGCAAUCCGCUUUGAGAUGGCCUCGCGUCCGAUUAGCUAGUUGGUGAGGUAAUGGCCCACCAAGGCGACGAUCGGUAGCCGGACUGAGAGGUUGAACGGCCACAUUGGGACUGAGACACGGCCCAGACUCCUACGGGAGGCAGCAGUGGGGAAUAUUGCACAAUGGGGGAAACCCUGAUGCAGCGACGCCGCGUGGAGGAAGAAGGUCUUCGGAUUGUAAACUCCUGUUGUUGAGGAAGAUAAUGACGGUACUCAACAAGGAAGUGACGGCUAACUACGUG